rnacentral:rRNA from 1 species
UACGGAAGGCAGCAGUGGGGAAUAUUGCACAAUGGGCGCAAGCCUGAUGCAGCCAUGCCGCGUGUACGAAAAAGGCCUUCGGGUUGUAAAGUACUUUCAGUCGUGAGGAAGGUGUUAAGGUUAAUAACCUUAGCAAUUGACGUUAGCGACAGAAGAAGCACCGGCUAACUCCGUGCCAGCAGCCGCGGUAAUACGGAGGGUGCGAGCGUUAAUCGGAAUUACUGGGCGUAAAGGGCACGCAGGCGGUUAAUUAAGUUGGAUGUGAAAUCCCCGGGCUUAACCUGGGAAUGGCAUUCAAGACUGGUUAGCUAGAGUCUUGUAGAGGGGGUAGAAUUCCAUGUGUAGCGGUGAAAUGCGUAGAGAUGUGGAGGAAUACCGGUGGCGAAGGCGGCCCCUGGACAAAGACUGACGCUCAUGUGCGAAAGCGUGGGGAGCAAACAGGGAUUAGAUACC